rnacentral:lncRNA from 1 species
AUAUGUAUUGUUCCAUUGAGAAUUAAAGUUCCUAGAGUUCUGGAUUAAGGUUUCAAGUCAUUUUUGAGUUUUGUUCAAGCUAUUUUGGUGUUUCUAGUUGCUGGAAGUUUCAGAAGUUCUUUCUGGGUUAAAUUUUGAUCAAUCUGGAUUUAACCGAGUCUAUUUGGUUGAACAUUGGUGCUGUAUUUUCACGUUUCAAUUCUGGACCGAUUCUGAUAUUGGUUGCUGGGUUGUUUGCUUAGAUCUGAACUGCUGUUUUGUCACUUGCUACUGCUGCUUCCUAUUUUUCUUUUCCUUGUUAUUUAAUUCCAGGUACACUAUUGUAGAUCUCGAAAUAUGGAUUGAAAUAAAAUGUUUCUCGUCUACUUCUUUGCAUUUUUAGCUGGGUCCCAAUUCUAUUGCAUCUUCAUGUAAAACGAUCUAGUUUCACCUAAAAACUGAGAGGUGUGAUUGUAUAUUGAUAUUGGUUUCUAGAUGUUAUAUUGAAGUUAAUUAGGGCUGUUCGUAAAGUCAGGACUGUUUAGGACUGUAAUUAAGGACUGCUGGAAUUAGUUUUGUUUUUUGGUCUGUUUCACCAUAGCAAUUAUUGCUAGUUUAGAGUUGUUUAGUUUUUGGUUUGUUACCGUGGAAAUAAAAUUUAGAAUAGGAAGUUAGUUAAUCAGAAUGUUCUGGCCUGUUUAUAUUUGGAAAUGGUAUGCUCACAAUCACUUAAUGUCACGUACAUCUGCUGAUUCAUUUCUACGUUUAGUCUGCAAAUAAGUGUUAUAAUACAUAUUAGUCGAUUGGCUGUAAAAUUGGCAAAACAAGAUGUUAGAUUCUCCAAUUCCACGUGAUUUGAAUAUAUAUAUAUAUAUAUAUAUAUAUAUAUAUAUAUAUACACACACACACACACCAACAUGCAUUGAUUUGAACCUAUUUGAAUCACUCAUUUACCCACAAUAGCUAAGCCCAGCCAAUUUCACUCUACUAUCUGUUUAAUCUGGACGGCCUGUGAUUAGAGGGUCUCGGCCGGAUUUUUAUUUGCAGAAGGCCCACAUUUGGGCAAUGUUUCAUGUACCAUUAGGACCAAAUCUGUUUAGGGCAAAAUUUGAAGGCCAAAAACACUGAAAGUCUCAAUGAGGCUACCUUUGUUAAAUUCAGUACUUAUUUGAAUAUCUUAGC